rnacentral:rRNA from 1 species
AACGAACGCUGGCGGCAUGCCUAACACAUGCAAGUCGAACGAGACCUUCGGGUCUAGUUGCGCACGGGUGCGUAACGCGUGGGAACCUGCCCUUAGGUUCGGAAUAACUCCCCGAAAGGGGUGCUAAUACCGGAUAAUGUCUUCGGACCAAAGAUUUAUCGCCUUUGGAUGGGCCCGCGUUGGUUUAGCUAGUUGGUAGGGUAAAAGCCUACCAAGGCGACGAUCCAUAGCUGGUCUGAGAGGAUGAUCAGCCACACUGGGACUGGGACACGGCCCAGACUCCUGCGGGAGGCAGCAAUGGGGACUAAUGGACAAUGGGCGGAAGCCUGAUCCAGCAAUGCCGCGUGGGUGAUGAAGGGGUUAGGGUUGUAAAGCGCUUUUACCCGGGAUGAUAAUGACGGAACCGGGAAAAUAGGCCCCGCUUACCUCCUU